rnacentral:lncRNA from 1 species
GAAAAUAUUGUACAAAUAGUCUACUGUAGGCUUAUGAGAUUAUUAUGUAAAAUUGGUGCUUUGGCUUUGUAAAGAAUUUGCAAAUCACCAGACAACACAGGUGUGGGAGAAGGGGAAGUUUCUCUCCUCUCCCCACAGCAUAUGGGAAUAUUCUGUUUACUUCUUAGUUGAGAAUGUAUUCAGCCUCUCUGUACUAACUUGAACCGAACCUGUGUCAAGGAAAACUCCCAUUUCAUCCUCUUCCUUCACCACCCCCGCUAUCCAACUCAGUAAUGUGAAGAAACAGAAACCCCACGCCACAGCUCCUAUAUAGGCUUUUUAGAGAUCUUGGAUUUUUAUGUACAGUCUAGUCAUUUUUAAUAAAUGUGGUUCAUUAAGGGAACAGGCAUAGCUGUCUUCUGUAACGUGGGUUUUAAUCUUUGUUUCAAAAAAAUCUUUGUUUAGUUUCUUCCUCCACCCUCCUCCAGCAUGAACACUGUCCCACCAGCCCACUGCCCACCCCGCCCCCGCAAAGCUCUAGAAUCUCUUAAGUGAACACAGUCGUCGUGAAGGGGUGGGGAAGCUUUUGUUUAUCUUAUUUUUCCUCUAAGGAUGAAUGGGGUUAUUUCCUUACCGCACUGGAACUCGAGCUUGUUGAGAGAUGCGAUGGAAUUUCGAAACGGUGUUCUCCUAUUCUGCCCUCCAGAAAGACUGAAAAUGCUAAUCACCGCCGGGAUAAGGCAGACACUGGCCCCAGUCUAUUUCGAUCUUGUAUAUUUUUGCACCGUACAGUAAAAAGAACCUGGUACUUGUGAAAAGUCCCUCGCAGUGUUUAAUAGAAACGUAAGUGGCUGAGUGGCCCCAAUUAACACCUUGUGAUAAGGCAUUCCUAAGAUGGAGUGUCAGACACCAAAUUGUGAAGAGAUGUAUCUAAUUAAUCCUCCUAGGAUGACACCGAUAAACAAGCCUCUAUUUAAAUAAAGAUCAAGGGCUCGGCGCCCCGUUUGUUUACAUUCUCUGUCGGGGUCCCAGCGUUUGCGCCCGUGCGGGCGGCGGCGUUCUCUGUAUCGAGUGGAGACACCGGCUUGAGGCUCUGCUGGCCCGCCUCGGUGCUUGCCCCAGACAAAAAUCUGCAAUUAGAUAAAAAACAAACUGCAAC